GCCCUUAUAGCACAGCGGUAGUGCGUUACACUAGUAUUCAACAAGUAUAUGUAAAGGUCCCUGGUUCAAUUCCAGGUGAGGGCA